GUCCUCUUGAUUAUAUUUUGAGGUCUGGUCUGCUCACUGACGAAGUUUUAAAGAGCCGCGGUAUUUUGACCGUGCAAAGGUAGCAUAAUCAUUAGUCUCUUAAUUAGGGGCUAGAAUGAAUGGCUUGACGAGAAAUCAUCUGUCUCUUAUUAAAUUAUAGAAUUUAACUUUUAAGUUAAAAGGCUUAAAUUUUUCUUAAAGACGAGAAGACCCUAUAGAGCUUAAUAUUUUAUUUUUAUAUAAUUUUUAGUUAAUCUUUUUAUAUUUAAAGUUAAUAUUUUGUUGGGGUGACAUGAAGAAUAAAUAAACUCUUCUUUCUAAAAUCAUUGAUUUAUGUUUAAUUUGAUCCAUAAUUUAUGAUCAUAAGAUUAAGUUACCUUAGGGAUAACAGCGUAAUUGUUUUUGAGAGCUCAUAUUGACAAAGCAGAUUGCGACCUCGAUGUUGGAUUAAGAAUAAUUUUGGGUGCAGGAGCCCAGUAAUUAGGUCUGUUCGACCUUUAAAUUCUU
rnacentral:rRNA from 1 species